GCCGCUGCCCUUGCAGCCGCGUCUGCGCCUCCGCCCGGGACACCGGGCCCACGUACCAGCUGGAGCGGUCCGACGAAUCGAAACGAGCGGCGGAGGACAUGGCUCCGGGCGGGGAAGGGGAAGGAAAGGGAGGAAGGAAGGAACAAAACGGCCCGCUGUGAUAAUCAUCUCUGAUCUCGAGAUAAUUUCCUACGUGCUCUAAGGGGCCGUUUCCUGCCUCUUCAUAGCCUUGUUCCCAGAUAACGGGGUCAGAGCCCGGCGUGGCCCAGGCGGGAGGGAAGAUGGUGUCGCAGCCGCUGAAGAGGAAGGAAGCCCCGGAAAGGACUCAGCAGGGCUCGGGGGCAGCGCUUGGCACAUGGUGCGGAUGAGCUGUUUGAAUUUGAGAGGGAGGUUGGCGCCGUGAGCCCGGACAGGCACCGGGCUCUGACUCAGCCCCGGGGCCGGCAGCGCCGCUCGGCCUGUCCAGCCGCAGUGGGCAAGGGCGCCACGGAAUAUCGGCACUGCUCCCCGGAGGUGUGGAAACCUCUGCGAAUGGUGUGAUUUUAGCUCAGUCUUGUGACUUGGUUUAAUUUGUGCUUUUGGUAUUCGCUUUGCUUCAGGGCUGGCAACGUGAAAUGAAGCAGCACUUGAAAGGGAAAAAAAAAAAAAAAGCCGGUUAAAAUGAGAAAUAGAUUUAAGAUGUCGGUCUUGAAGCUCUUAACUGGACUGUUGUGCAGUGUUAUUUUUCAUGCUCUGCCUUUUCCAAAAGUUCAGUCAUUCCACAGUCAUUUUUUUCCUCUUUGUUCCUCAUCCUACGUUGGCAAGCAGUGCCAGCUGAGGUGUCUGCAUUGGAACAUAUGGGCUCUGUCUCUGCAGACAUUUAGCAGAGUUCAAAUCAUCUAAAAUGGAAGACUUCUCCAGUGUCAUGUUUUAGACAAAACCAUCCAGGAAAAGUCUCAUCAUUAAGAUGAAAGGAUCUUAAAGCAGCCCCUGAAUCCAUGUGCAGGUAUCAUUUUACCAGGCGCUGACAUACAGCCAUCUCCUGGGUGGAAAACAACAGCUGUUGGUCAUGUACAGCACAACAGUGACCUAGAGAUGAAUAAUUGCAUCUGAAAAGUCACACCUAUGCAAAAAAUGUCAUCCAUUACUAGGAAAUACUACUUAGUAGCUAUACCUCCGAUCCAUUCCUCCUGGUUUAAGUGCUUGUAUCUGCCAGUAAGUCAGUUUUAAACACCUGUAGACAGGCUACAAUAGAAUAUGAAGGUUAUGAUGUUUUCUUGUGUCAUUUGAACAGAUAUGGCUUGCUUUCUGUUUGACCAUGGCCAAAAUACAGAUUAAAAGAUAGCAAUUGUCUUGCAAUAAUAUGCUAAAUAAUGUUUAAAAAUAAUUACAAAAGCUGUAAGUUAGCAACAGAUUUAAUUACUCAUAGUACAUAAAAAGGAAAGAAAUAUUCCUGCUGCUUCAUUUGAUUGAAUUACAAUUUUUGUUAAAAUAAAACCCAAAAAUACA